AUGUCCUACAGCUCCGUAUAAACAAUAUCAAAUAACAAAUAUAUUCCUAUAAAGUUCAACUUUUCAUAUUAUUCCUGCGAAUUGCUCCUCUGGUAUGUUACCAUUGGAGCAUUGUUUAUUUUUCAACAGAAGAUAAGUGAAAUGAUAUUUUUAUCAUUAUAAAUAUGUCACUCCAAAAGCUCAAACUGUUAGAAUUAUAUAGAAAUAUCCUCCCAAAAUUUUUUGAUGAUCAUUUUCAUUUUUUCUGCCAUCACAUGUAAUAUAAGAGAGGUAAAAAAGUCAAUUUAUCUCAUUCACUAAUUAAAAAUAAGUAUUUCACUUAUGAUUAACUAUAUUUUUCUAACGGAUCCUAACAACAGGGUAUAUUCAAAAACGUUAAGAUUUUUGUAGUGAUAAAUAUGAUAAGUUGAACAUUAUAGUGAUAUAUUUAUUAUUCGAUAUGUUUACAGAAAAUUGUAUGCAAUUAAUUUUUUUUUAAGAUAAA
rnacentral:lncRNA from 1 species